rnacentral:lncRNA from 1 species
CUAGAAAUAAUAAUACACCUAGAUUUUAAUUAAAAAUUAAGUAGUUUUAGUUUUAGAAUUAAUGUUCAAUUAGAUUUAUAUCAAUUAAUACACAUUUUAAUAUUAGAUUUUGAUUAAAAUUUAAUUAGCUAGUUUUAAUUAGAAAAUAAUAUGCAUGUUAUAUUUUAAUUUAUUUAUGAUUCUAGUCCUUAAUCAAAAUCCAUGUGCUUGUGAAUCAUAUCCUGAUCAUGUCCCUGAUUGAUUGAUUGAUCAAAGUCAUCU